rnacentral:rRNA from 1 species
CCUACGGGAGGCAGCAGUGAGGAAUAUUGGUCAAUGGACGAGAGUCUGAACCAGCCAAGUAGCGUGAAGGAUGACUGCCCUCUGGGUUGUAAACUUCUUUUAUAUGGGAAUAAAAUGUUCCACGUGUGGGAUUUUGUAUGUACCAUAUGCAUAAGGAUCGGCUAACUCCGUGCCAGCCGCCGCGGUAAUACGGAGGAUCCGAGCGUUAUCCGGAUUUAUUGGGUUUAAAGGGAGCGUAGGUGGAUUGUUAAGUCGGUUGUGAAAGUUUGCGGCUCAACCGUAAAAUUGCAGUUGAAACUGGCAGUCUUGAGUACAGUAGAGGUGGGCGGAAUUCGUGGUGUAGCGGUGAAAUGCUUAGAGAUCACGAAGAACUCCGAUUGCGAAGGCAGCUCACUGGACUGCAACUGACACUGAGGCUCGAAAGUGUGGGUAUCAAACAGGAUUAGAUACCCGGGUAGUC